GGGGCUGGGGCUCAGGGGCAGAGCACUUGCCUGGCAUGUGUGAGGCUCUGGGUUCCAUCCUUAGCACCCCCA
rnacentral:tRNA from 1 species